UACGAAGGGGACUAGCGUUGUUCGGAAUUACUGGGCGUAAAGCGCGCGUAGGCGGACUAUUAAGUCAGGGGUGAAAUCCCGGGGCUCAACCCCGGAACUGCCUUUGAUACUGGUAGUCUCGAGUCCGGAAGAGGUGAGUGGAAUUCCGAGUGUAGAGGUGAAAUUCGUAGAUAUUCGGAGGAACACCAGUGGCGAAGGCGGCUCACUGGUCCGGUACUGACGCUGAGGUGCGAAAGCGUGGGGAGCAAACAGG
rnacentral:rRNA from 1 species